GUCAGAAUGGUGUAGUGUUUUGAGCAUUGUACUAGAACUCUUGGAAACCAGGGUUCGAAUCCCUGCUCAGUCA